UAAGACGAGCGAUAUGAAACCGGCAUGGAUUGUCUUAAGUACUCGUACUUCUGUACCGACCUAGUGCCUUCUGGAAUCUGCGCAUGCAAUAAUGUACCCAUGUCAUGACGAACAUUGCCUGUUGCAUAAAGUAUUUCGUGAUAACCUAAAAUUAACUAUUUAUUAUCCCAGUUCUGACACCGGAUGUUCCUCGAAAGUUAGCAUGUAAACCGCACAUAAAGGAUCCAAGAACUUUCAAUCGAGUGCGCACAGCGAAACCUUAAUUUUGCGUACUCCCACUUCGACCACUAAAGGUCAUCUUAGCUAUACAUGCAAAGAAACCCGCUGCACACGCAGAUUGCACUGCAUUGUAAACUGGGUCUAUGUACAACUCCUGCAGCCUACAUUCGGUGACGCAAAGUACCAGCCCCGUUUUGAUGUGUUAUUCUCCCAUAAGUGCGACGAUUAACCCGGAAAAGUAGUGUCCAUAAAAACCAUUCACAUGGCGGGCACGUACUGAGCGAACUAACCGAAAGGUCACUGGGUUCUGAAUCCGCCGCGUUGUUUAUGUCGUUGUGCCUUGUGGCAUCGUGGAACGGAUGUGGAUCUCCCAAACUCUGGAUACGGAUGGACGAAGCGAUGGGCGAAGACGGAUGUUUGUGGUCCGAUUUUACUGAUGUUUAUGCUCGAAGCAAUCGGGGGCUUGCUCUAGCUAGCUUGCAGCGCUCUACGUUUGGCCCUUAAUUAAAGGAUUUCGCGAAUGUCGUAAAAUCAUCUUCAUUGUCAGUUGUUUUCAUUUAUGUUGGAAAAUGAAGAAAAAGAAAAUGUCCGUUGGUUAGAAAAUGUCCGUCUACUGUUUAGCUUGUCAGUGGCCGCUCGAAUUUUUACUCAAAACCGGCGAUGUACCGUAGUACGUCCUGUAAUCAACGGGAAAAAAAUCUCUUUGCAUGAUUCCCGACCGGAUAUAGAUAUAAACCUUGCAGUUUCGGACCAUGGAUAUUAGCUGCUGAACUUAAACUUGUUUUAUUUGACUUGUUUUUGAUUGUUUAAUUUCGAACAUGUCACAUGGGUGCACAGCUAAA